UACGGGGGGAGCAAGCGUUGUUCGGAUUUACUGGGCGUAAAGGGCGCGUAGGCGGUCUGUUAAGUCGGAUGUGAAAACUCUGGGCUCAACCCAGAGCCUGCAUCCGAAACUGGCAGGCUAGAGUUCUGGAGGGGGUAGCGGAAUUCCUGGUGUAGCGGUGAAAUGCGUAGAUAUCAGGAGGAACACCGGCGGCGAAGGCGGCCCUCUGGAUCGUUGCUGACGCUGAGACGCGAAAGCGUGGGGAGCAAACAGG
rnacentral:rRNA from 1 species